AUUACAGAUAGAAAGAGCUAAUUUGCAAUGAAAAAAUAAUUAAAAUUAAAUCUAUACAAAUGUGGAUGCAAGAUUGAAAAUUGAAAACAAAACAACGGAAAUUUAAAAAAGCAGCAGAGAAUGCAAGUUAACCCUGGCGCAUAAAUUAGUAAAAUAAUUGUAAACUGAAAUCAACUGCAGCGCUGCGAAGUUGUAUGCAAUUUUGCAAUUAUCGCUUUUUAUUUCCAACCACCGCCAUAUCAGUGGCGAAUUACCGACAAACAUACAAAACACAGCACGCUUGCGCACAUUUUCUGAGUGAUUGUGAAUAUAAAAUGUUUAUCUGUACAUGUGUGUGUAAGUACGAUUACACGGCUUUUGAGAUUGUUGAUUGCAAUUGCAAAAAUAGAACCAAACGAAGAAAUCGCCAACACAGUAAACUUCAACAAAAACAACAGCAGCAAUAAGAAGAAGAGAAAAAUAUAAUAGUCAGCGAGCACUCUCUGUUGUUGUUGUGUUUUUCAUGCAGUUCUUGUUGUUGUCGCUGCCGGCGUACACGCAUUUCUCACCAUAUUUGGCCGCUUGCAAGAUCAUCUCGCACACAUCCUGUUGCAUCGCAUUGUCGCAAUCUCGCUGUUUUGCUGAUUGUAUGGCAUUACAAUUCUAAAUCAACUGCAAGGAUUUCUUUCUCUCAAAAGUUAUUGGUCAACAAACCGCGCCGCCGAAAUGGCCAAUUUACGGUGAUCGCUACACAGAAAUUGCACUGGAUUUAGUCUUCCCAAAGCAAGAUGGCAAGCAAUUGCAGCUGCUGCAGCCGCUCGAUCGCGAUGAGGAGAUUCUGAGACACAUUGUCUUUCAGGUUUCCUGUUCGAUUCGCAACGCAACCAACAAGCGACGCAGCAUUCCGCUUAUUGUGCGUGUAUCUGUUGUCAACAACAAUGCGAAGCGCUUCAUGAACACCCUAUGAGGUCACCGUGCCGGAGAGCACUCCGGUCGGCACGACGAUUUCCGCCACAUUCAGGCGCUGGACAAGUAUGCUGGUGUUAAUGGACUCGUCGAGUAUUUUAUUGUUGAGGGCAAAACAAACACAACGGAAGAUGAGACAAUGACAAUUGCCGAUGGUUAUGUUACAUUUCCAAUUUCCUUUCCCCAUCAAGGACAGUGGAAAUACUAAGCAAUAACAAUAGCCAAUUGAUGAAAUAGAUAGGUGGCGGCAGCAGUAGCGCAAAUGGUACUACCAGCGUCGGCGUUAGCACAACUGGCGAUUGUGAGCAUACUAUACAAAUAGUCCUACCAAUGAACGCACCAUCAUCGGCCGGAAUCUCCCGAUUUCUGGCGUAAUAAACGGCUCGGAAAUUUUCUCUAGCCAUCGAGUUCUUGUCACAUAUUUAAAAUACCAUACAAAUAAAAUCCGAAUGUUAUUACAUACUUGACGCCACGGCAACGAGCUGAGCUUUUUCCGCCAGGAGGCGAUGCCAGAAGUGUGUUUAGGUAAUGCCUGCCGCUGCCGGUCUCUAAACAACGUUUUUCGGCCUUUUUUGGACUUUUUGUUAUGUUGUAUAGAGAAAGGUAAGUACUUUUUCGAUGUUGCACUGGAUUCGCAUUUUUAUCUACUAAAAUCUGUUGAUAUUGCAUUU